GACCCAUUAGCUCAGUUGGCAGAGCACAUGACUUUUAAUCAUGGUGUCCCGCGUUCGAAUCGCGGAUGGGUCACCA
rnacentral:tRNA from 2 species